GGGUGAGUAACACGUAUCCAACCUGCCGUCUACUCUUGGACAGCCUUCUGAAAGGAAGAUUAAUACAAGAUGGCAUCAUGAGUCCGCAUGUUCACAUGAUUAAAGGUAUUCCGGUAGACGAUGGGGAUGCGUUCCAUUAGAUAGUAGGCGGGGUAACGGCCCACCUAGUCUUCGAUGGAUAGGGGUUCUGAGAGGAAGGUCCCCCACAUUGGAACUGAGACACGGCCCAGACUCCUACGGGAGGCAGCAUG
rnacentral:rRNA from 1 species